rnacentral:rRNA from 1 species
UACGUAGGGUGCAAGCGUUAAUCGGAAUUACUGGGCGUAAAGCGUGCGCAGGCGGUUAUGUAAGACAGAUGUGAAAUGCCCGGGCUUAACCUGGGAACUGCAUUUGUGACUGCAUGGCUAGAAUCUGGCAGAGGGGGGUAGAAUUCCACGUGUAGCAGUGAAACGCGUAGAGAUGUGGAGGAACACCGAUGGCGAAGGCAGCCCCCUGGGCUGAGAUUGACGCUCAGGCACGAAAGCGUGGGGAGCAAACAGG